GACGAACGCUGGCGGCGUGCUUAACACAUGCAAGUCGAACGGAAAGGCCCUGCUUUUGUGGGGUGCUCGAGUGGCGAACGGGUGAGUAACACGUGAGUAACCUGCCCUUGACUUUGGGAUAACUUCAGGAAACUGGGGCUAAUACCGGAUAGGAGCACCUGCUGCAUGGUGGGGGUUGGAAAGUUUCGGCGGCUGGGGAUGGACUCGCGGCUUAUCAGCUUGUUGGUGGGGUAGUGGCUUACCAAGGCUUUGACGGGUAGCCGGCCUGGGAGGGUGACCGGGCACAGUGGGCUAGGGGAACCGGCAGUAGUCCUUCUGGGGGCAUGAAUGGGGGAUUAUGCACGAAGGGCGGAAGGCGUGAGGAAGAACGCCGGGUGGUGGAGGACGGCCUUCAGGGUUGAAACCGCUUUCGCCUGGGACGAAGCGUGAGUGACGGUAAUGGGUAAAGAAGCACCGGCUAACUACGUG
rnacentral:rRNA from 1 species